AAGAAAGAACUCAUCUUGAAUACAUGCUGGAGAAUGGCAAAGUGAAAUGAGCAGUUUUUAAGCUAGAACAAUCUAGUCCUUACUGAAGCAAGACUUCAGGUAACGAUACAACAAAAUAAAAUGAAUACUGAUCAAUAGCAGAUAAAGCUCUUCACGUUGAAAGGAAACUUUAAAAUAAAAAAAAUAAAAAAAGCAACAGGGGUAGGGUGUGUGUCAACGUUACUCCUUAUUCACAGGUUUAUUUCUUCAUAAAAGUGUAUUUCAAUCCUCUAUAGCAUCUUCGAGAAAAAAAAGUAACAAAAAAAAAGGCAACUGAAUGUUUUGUAUAGCGAAGUACAAGGCAGAGUUUAUAUCAAAAUUAAUAGAAUAAAAAU